UCGCACGAAAGGUGGUCUCUUUCUUCCGCUCCGGCCGGCAGCUCCCUCGACUCUUCCAACGUGGUCACCCUCGGGCCAAAUUUGAACCACAACACUGACCAAAAGAUAAAUGGCUGCAGGAAUCAAAAUUUAUGUUACUAGAUCAAUUGAGAAAUAAAAAUUCCUAAAACAGAGACAUUAUAAAUUAUUUUUUAAAAUAGAGAAUUUUUUUUCAUACAUCAGCGACUCACACUAAUUUCACAUUAGCACAGACAGUUGAAUCACUAAAACGUAGACUAAAUAAUAGCGAAGAAAUAGAAAUAUGCCCAAUCCAAAAUGAUCUUUCCAGAAUAAUGGGCAGCAAAAGAGGCGACUUAAUCAGCACUUUUUGUUCGUCUCACAAAACACGUGCACGACCUGAAAGGCACAACAUUUUUUCUGCAGCCGCCAGAUGUCGCGCAGAAGCAAAUGCUUAGCCAUCCGCCCAGUUGAGUCUCCCUUGAGAAUGAUACACUUCACCUUAAGCAAUUGUCUCGCGUAGAAGAAUCUCUUUCAUGCUGCUCUUAGUUCCGCCCCUAAAAAUGACCGCCCAAAGGAACAACGCCUUCUGCAGCGACCUAACUUAGAAUCCUGAUUCUGUUUUCUCCAUUUCUCUCCGAGUAGAUCAUGACCAGUACUUAUCCUGUUGGCGCAUCCAAACAAGCCCCUGAAGCUCAAUAAGCUCAGCGUCCGAACCAGUCACUGAUCAAAAGAACAAGAUAAAAACAAGAGAGAAGAAGACGCAACAGAAAUAUGGGGUAAUUUAAAAUUCAAGAAAAACAGCGAGCNNN
rnacentral:lncRNA from 1 species